AUGAGAGCAAGGGGAGAGACUGCAGCAUACGCAUGCAGCGCCGAAGGAGCAAACUGAUGUGAAUCUCUCAGGCAAAAGAACUCUUGCUUGACG
rnacentral:ncRNA from 2 species